UAUUGGUAAGAAUAGACAGAUACGAUGGAAAUUAACUAAAAGAAUAGUUGUACUAUUUGAGAAGUGCUGAAAGCAAUGUGAAGCACAUUUAUGUCUGUGUUGAUCCACGCGAAUGUAUAAAGCUGACAAGGGUGAUCAGAUAAUCUGAAUUGCAACGACCUUAGUCAGAAUCACAAAGUAUGAUCAUCUGAUUGAAGUUGGAAUGUGGCAUUUCUUUGAAUUACAUCAUAGAGAAGUUAUCUCUUUUCCGAAUCCUGUUUCACAAUUUAUUUGUCAGAAUUAUAGUUAACAAAAAUUUAUCAAUGUCAUUAUUACAAUGUGAUCAUUUUUCAUAAAAAACUUGCUCUAAUGCUUUCACUAUAAAAAUACUUAUACUUGCAAUGUAAUAAAUGUCAUUCAACAUCAGAAAUAUCAAGAAAACGAUGAAUCAUCUAAAGAAGAUUCAAAAUCCAGUGAAACUGGAGAGCCUCAAGAAAAUGGAGAACAAUAUGAGGAAGUCAAUGAGGAAGAUUCGGUAGCAGAUGAAGAGGUACAUUCCAAGGAGGAGGAGGUGGUCCUUUGAUAUCAAGUGAUGAUGGUACAAAUGAUUUGUUGGUAUGUGUUGAUUAUAAAAUAAUUGUUUGUAUAGAUGCUUGUGAUGUUCACUUUAUGGAAUGAAUAACACUUGUAUACCUUUGUAGGGACUUAAUGAAAUAAAUCUAAUAGCUAUGGAAUUGGAGGAAAACAAUGUUAUGGCUCUUGCAAUUGUACCACCUGGUGGUAAGGACUAAAGUAAUUGAUUGAAAAAUAUAAAGUAUUUAACAUAAGCCUUUUCAAAGUUGCACUUUGCUUCAAUUGAUGCAUACCAAUAUUUUAAAAGUUGUAGACAUUUACAUUUCAACAAUCAUGCAAUGUUUGUUGGGAUUCUCUAAUAUAAACAAGGACAAGUUCAUAUUUACAUUUUGAUAUACAAUUUUAGGAAUAAAAGAGUUAUCUUUAAAUUUUUCCACUUGAAGUUGAUAGAAGAAGAUGAUAAACACUUGUUUUAGAAAGAUUAACAUCUUAGCAAUGUGAUUAACACUUGUUUUAGUAAUUAGUUAGUCACUUCUAUCUGAAAAAAGGUUAAACCUGAAAGAAGCUGAAGGAACCCAAAAGGAAAAUUUACUAGAUGCUAAAAAUCAGAAUAUUCUUUGUUUUUCAUGCCAACUGCUCACUGGAGCUUCAUGUUUAUCAGCCUGCAAGUUAAGAGCAAGACACCAUGAAGAAACCAAGUUCAUGAUAAGAUAACCAAAUAAAAAGGUAUUUUCAGGGUUUUUACUUGAUAAAUUUGUGCAUAUGAUUAACUACUGCUAUGGCAACUUGUACUGUGAGAUCCAAAUAUCAUUCUUCCUAGAAGUUUAUGGAUGUUUUGCAUAGUACAGGCAUACUUGUGAUCAUUUGGAGAAACUCAAUCUAAUAAAGGGUUAUGAUCCUUUUGUCAAUGCGAUGAGUUUCAGUUAGGUAAUUUCAAAUAAUUCAGUUUAUCUAAAACAUAUAUUGCUUUAAUGUUUAUCGUCAUGCAAUAAUUAGCAAUCAUUAAUCAUUGCAUGCUUUUUUGCUAGGUUGGAGGUUUAUCAAUUAUUGAUGGCAAGAAUGCUUAUUUUCAUCAAUGCAGAUUACAACUACAAUUCUACAAUCUGUACGCACUGUUGUUUCCAGGGGAAAUCAAUGUUACUUACUCACCACUAAGUUAGACUGAGUAUUUUAUGCUUCUCUUUUUUGGACUUUCUUUUUUAUUUUAUUUUUCCCAUUGGUAAUUGGGUUCUAAAAAGUGGAUCAUCUUGAUAGUCUGUUUUUCUAAAUCCUUUUUGCAUGUACGGUGUCUAGUGUCACUAACGUUUUUCCUCAAGUAAGUCUGAACUUUGCUGGUGGGGCAUCUCUGCUUUUAAGAUCACGGGACUACCUGAUACAACAUAAUUCUAUUGUAAGUAUUCAAACUUCAAUUGCUAUUUCUUAGAUUCUCUGAGCGUCUUGAGAACAGAUAUUGCUGAUAGCAUUUUGUUCUUCACGUACACUUUAUUGCUUUGUAUUGUCCAACUUUUGUGUACUAUAUGUGACCUCACUAGAUGCUAUGGUGAACCUAUGCAUGUUACAGGGUGGUGCAGCAGUGUGGUGUAUUGGUUUUCAAAAAAUCCAAGGUCAAGGGGUAACAAUUCUAGGAGGAAUAAUCCAUCCAUACCAAUUUGAAAACUUUAUGUCCUAUAUUCAUCUCUUUUAUGGUGACAUCUAGCAUGGAUAAAUGGACUAAGCUCAUCACAUAUUUAAUAUUGCAAGUUUCAUUUUUAACUUAAUUCUGCUCCACUCUUGCCAAUAUUUAUUGGAGACCAAUUAAAAUCUGUUUAAUUUAUUCUUGAUUCUGGAGUGAUCUAGGACUAUAUUACUGUACUGAAAUAUAUAAUAAUAUGGAGUUAUACUAAAAUUUGUCUAAUUUAACAUCGAUCUAAGUGAUUUGAAAUUAUAUUAUAUAAUAACUUGGAGUUAUAAUAAGUGGUUUAAACCAAAACAUUACAUCAGUAAUUUUCACAAUUCUGCAUUUUUGUUCUCUUUCAUUUCUCAAAUAUGGUCACAAAGGAGAUGCAUAAUCAGUAGAAAAAGGAUUAGAUAAGCUCCAACAUUCAUAACAUCUUUGUUACACUUUAUAGGAGGAAUAACAACCAAAUAUGAGGUGGAUUGAAGAUUCAAUCACCACAAAACAAAAUGGGCUAUCAUCAGAAAGAACUUUCAUUUUCAGUAAUUGAUCAUGCAUUUAAAUUUUGUUAUACAACUAAUUUCUCAUGAUGCUGCUUUAGCUCUUUAUAACAACUUCAAAAGACCAUUUACCUCACCAAAAGAACUUCUUAAGACUUCACACACCACUUUAAUUGUUUGUUUGGACUGAGAAGUGAAAAUAAGAUAGCAAAGAAGGAAAGAAAGAAAAGAGAGAAAAAGUGAAAUAUUUGAUUGUUUAAUAAAAGAGAGUAAAAAAAUGAAGAAAAAUGAAACAAUAAUUUAAUUGAUUUGAUAGAUUAAAAAAAUUAAUUGACAUAUUUAAUAAAUGAACAAAGUUUCCUUUUCUUAAAAAUGAAUUUUUGAUUAAAUGUUAAUAAAUUUUAAGUGUUUUUCCUAUAAAUUGGAUUUUCACUGUAAAAUAAUAAUUGUCAGUGUGUAUAAUUUGUAAAAUAACAAAAUUUUAAAAUAAAACUUUAAUAGAUAUUAAAUAAAAUUCAAGUUCAAAUGUUAACAAAAAUUAAACUGUUUGUAGAAAUUAAUAUGUCCACAGAAUAAAAAUGUAAUAAUAUCUAAAGAAUAAAUAGUACAUUAUAGUCUUUUAAGGAAAAAAAAAACAUAAAUUUUAAUAAAGAUAGUAUUCAAACAUAAAUUGAAUUACAAAAAUAAAUAAUAAAAAUAAUUUACUUCAAUAUAAGAAAAUUUGUAUUUUUUACAGAUGAUUUCCGUAAUUUUUAGUUUGAAAUAUCACAUACAAAUUAGCUUAACUAUAAUUUAAAAUUGAAAUCCAUAUCAAACACACAUUAACAUAUUCAUCCAAUUAAAUCAUAAUUUUAAUUAUUCAACCUUAAUAUAAUUUUUUUUAGGGUAUAACUAUUUCUUUUGACAUUAUUAAUCAAACUAUGAUUUUACUAAAAUCUUAUAGCAUGAAUAUUACUUUAUCUUAAUAAGUAAACAGUAGGUUGUAUGUGAAACCCACAACUACAUUAAAAAAUCUAUUAAAUCAUGUUUACCAUUUUGGCAAAAGAAAUAAAAAAAAAGGCUGCUACAACAUCAUGUUAAUAAUUUGUCAUAUUUUCACGGUAUAAAAAAUUAAGUCCUAUCAACGUGAUAAUAUUAAAAUAAAGACAACACAUAUAUUAUUAAAAUCUAAAUAAUGACGUGACUAAUUACAAUUAUAAUUAUAUCACUCCUUAUUUCGGUUUUUUAUAAUUUUGAUAAUUUUGUUAGUAUACUUCGACAAUAUCAUUUUAACAUAUCUGAUUUUUCUUCUGUUAACAAAUUAUAAUUGAUAUGAGUUUUUUCUUAAACUAAAUAUUUUUGUUCUCUCAAAUACUUCUUAGUCUGUUAUCUAAGUUAUGAAAGACUUAUGUACUUAACUAUUUUUAGAUCGUUCACAAAUUAAGUCAAUACAUAAUUAAUUAAUUAAUCGCACAUUUAAUUAUGGUCUAUAAUUUAUUGUAAUAUUUGAAGUUUAUUUUGUCUAUUUUUUCGGGUCAACAACAAAUAUCAUAUUUCAGUAUGUAUGAUGCAAAUGGGAGCAAUUGUUCAAACAUCAAGAGAUCAAGCAAUGACUUUUUUAUGUUUUCCUUGGUGAUUAUUUAUUUAUGGGAAGUUUGUCAAAUAAAAUAGUGUCUAAAACUUAACAAAAUCAAAACAGUGUGUCUUAUAAUUAGUUACUAGUGAAAUAGUACAUGUUGAUUUAAUAAAUUCUUUUAUUUCUUUCCCUCUUCGAACUUUUGCAUUUUAUUGCAUCGAAUUCUGGGUUCUUUUCAUAUUAUUCUUUUCUUAAGAACAUAUUAUAAAAUGGUUUGUUCUCAUGUAAGGAUUUUGAUUUUCAAUUGAAGAAAAUAAUAUUGGUAGAAUAAAAUUAUUGUAAAGAGAAAGAGAAUUGGUAUUUACAGUGAGAAUAGCUUAUUAUGAUGACAUAAUAAACUAUUAUUUUAUUUAAAAUAACAAAAAAUGGAAGUAUCUGGUAGCUUCUUCUUUAUCCUCAAGAAGCUCUAAAACUUUCAAGAAGCUUCUUAUUCAUCCUCAAGGAGGCUCUAAAACUUUCAAGAAACAUCUUUUCCAGUAAUAAAUUGGCUAUGCUUCCUUUCUUCCUCAUUUCAGACAUUGAUCACUCAAAACUCAAACCAAUUCAUAUUCUGUUCGUUUUUUCCUUAACAUUUCAUC
rnacentral:lncRNA from 1 species